AGGGCACCACCAGGAGUGGAGCCUGCGGCUUAAUUUGACUCAACACGGGAAAUCUCACCAGGCCCGGACACUGGAAGGAUUGACAGAUUGAGAGCUCUUUCUCGAUUCGGUGGGUGGUGGUGCAUGGCCGUUCUUAGUUGGUGGAGUGAUUUGUCUGGUUAAUUCCGAUAACGAACAAGACUCUGUCCUGCUAAAUAGUUCCCGCGUCCUUUGUUGCGCGGGAAAUUCUUCUUAGAGGGACUGGCGGCGUCUAGCCGCACGAGAUUGAGCAAUAACAGGUCUGUGAUGCCCUUAGAUGCUCUGGGCCGCACGCGCGCUACACUGAAGGGAUCAGCGUGUCUUCCCUUUCCGAGAGGAACGGGUAACCCGCUGAACCCCCUUCGUGGUAGGGAUCGGGGCUUGCAAUUAUUCCCCGUGAACCAGGAAUUCCCAGUAAGCGCAAGUCAUAAGCUUGCGUUGAUUACGUCCCUGCCCUUUGUACACACCGCCCGUCGCUACUACCGAUUGAACGUUUUAGUG
rnacentral:rRNA from 1 species